ACGAACGUUGGCGGCGUGGAUUAGGCAUGCAAGUCGAACGAAUCUCACCCUUGUAGCAAUACCGGGGUGGGGGAAGUGGCGAAAGGGGCAGUAAUGCGUGGGUAACCUACCCCGGGGAUGGGCAUAGCCGUUCUAACGAGCGGAUAAUUCCCAGCGAUUUGGUCGAGGGGCAUCUCUUGGCCAAGAAAUGAAUUUCGCCUCGGGAGGGGCUCACGUCGUAUUAGCUUGUUGGCGGGGUAACGGCCCACCAAGGCAAAGAUGCGUAGCAGGUGUGAGAGCACGACCUGCGCCACUGGCACUGAGACACUGGCCAGACACCUACGGGUGGCUGCAGUCGAGGAUCUUCGGCAAUGGGCGCAAGCCUGACCGAGCGACGCCGCGUGUGCGAUGAAGGCCUUCGGGUUGUAAAGCACUGUCGAGGGGGAGGAAGCCGCAAGGUUGACCUAUCCCUGGAGGAAGCACGGGCUAAGUUCGU
rnacentral:rRNA from 1 species